CCUACGGGUGGCAGCAGUGGGGAAUAUUGCACAAUGGGGGAAACCCUGAUGCAGCGACGCCGCGUGAGUGAAGAAGUAAUUCGUUAUGUAAAGCUCUAUCAGCAGGGAAGAAAAUGACGGUACCUGAGUAAGAAGCCCCGGCUAACUACGUGCCAGCAGCCGCGGUAAUACGUAGGGGGCAAGCGUUAUCCGGAUUUACUGGGUGUAAAGGGAGCGUAGACGGCAGUGCAAGUCUGGAGUGAAAGCCCGGGGCUCAACUCCGGGACUGCUUUUGAAACUGUUGAACUAGAUUGCAGGAGAGGUAAGUGGAAUUCCUAGUGUAGCGGUGAAAUGCGUAGAUAUACGGAGGAACACCAGUGGCGAAGGCGGCCUGCUGGACAUUAACUGACGCUGAGGCGCGAAAGCGUGGGGAGCAAACAGGAUUAGAUACCCUUGUAGUC
rnacentral:rRNA from 1 species